rnacentral:tRNA from 1 species
UACAAUGUGCCUGAAUAAAGGAUAAUUUUGAUAGAAUUAAUAAAGCUAAUAGCCAUUGUAU